rnacentral:rRNA from 1 species
AGAGUUGAUCCUGGCUUAGGAUGAACGCUGGCGGCGUGCCUAACACAUCAAGUCGAACGGAGAAGGGGGCUUCGGUCCCCUGAUCAGUGGCGGACGGGUGAGUAACGCGUGAGCAACCUGCCUUUGUGUGGGGAAUAACACAGGGAAACUUGUGCUAAUACCGCAUAACGCAUCGACGUAGCAUUACGAUGAUGCCAAAGAUUUAUUGCACGAAGAUGGGCUCGCGUCUGAUUAGAUAGUUGGUGAGGUAACGGCCCACCAAGUCUGCGAUCAGUAGCCGGACUGAGAGGUUGAACGGCCACAUUGGAACUGAGAGACGGUCCAGACUCCUACGGGAGGCAGCAGUGGGGAAUAUUGGGCAAUGGGCGAAAGCCCUGACCCAGCGACGCCGCGUGAAGGAAGAAGGCCUUCGGGUUGUAAACUUCAGUCAACAGGGAAGAAGAAAGUGACGGUACCUGUGGAGGAAGCCACGGCUAACUACGUGCCAGCCGCGGC